UUGGCCACCUGGCUCUGAGAACUGAAUUCCAUAGGCUGUGAGCUCUGGCAAAUGCCCUAGGGACUCAGUUCUGGUGCCCGGCUGUGCUAA
rnacentral:pre_miRNA from 1 species